UACAGAGGUCUCAAGCGUUGUUCGGAUUCAUUGGGCGUAAAGGGUGCGUAGGUGGCGCCGUAAGUCAGGUGUGAAAUUUCGGAGCUUAACUCCGAAACUGCAUUUGAUACUGCGGUGCUUGAGGACUGGAGAGGAGACUGGAAUUCACGGUGUAGCAGUGAAAUGCGUAGAUAUCGUAAGGAAGACCAGUGGCGAAGGCGAGUUCCUGGACAGUUACUGACACUGAGGCACGAAGGCCAGGGGAGCAAACGGG
rnacentral:rRNA from 1 species